rnacentral:rRNA from 1 species
AGAGUUUGAUCAUGGCUCAGAGCGAACGCUGGCGGCAGGCCUAACACAUGCAAGUCGAGCGCCCCGCAAGGGGAGCGGCAGACGGGAGAGUAACACGUGGGAACGUGCCCUUCAGUUCGGAACAACCCAGGGAAACUUGGGCUAAUACCGGAUACGUCCGUAAGGAGAAAGAUUUAUCGCUGAAGGAUCGGCCCGCGUCUGAUUAGCUAGUUGGUGAGGUAACGGCUCACCAAGGCGACGAUCAGUAGCUGGUCUGAGAGGAUGAUCAGCCUCACUGGGACUGAGACACGGCCCAGACUCCUACGGGAGGCAGCAGUGGGGAAUAUUGGACAAUGGGCGCAAGCCUGAUCCAGCCAUGCCGCGUGGAUGAUGAAGGCCCUAGGGUUGUAAAGUCCUUUCGGCGGGGAAGAUAAUGACGGUACCCGCAGAAGAAGCCCCGGCUAACUUCGUGCCAGCAGCCGCGGUAAUACGAAGGGGGCUAGCGUUGCUCGGAAUCACUGGGCGUAAAGCGCACGUAGGCGGCUUUUUAAGUCAGGGGUGAAAUCCUGGAGCUCAACUCCAGAACUGCCCUUGAUACUGAGAAGCUUGAGUCCGGGAGAGGUGAGUGGAACUGCGAGUGUAGAGGUGAAAUUCGUAGAUAUUCGCAAGAACACCAGUGGCGAAGGCGGCUCACUGGCCGGUACUGACGCUGAGAUGCGAAAGCGUGGGGAGCAAACAGGAUUAGAUACCCUGGUAGUCC